UGGGGAAUCUUGCGCAAUGGGCGAAAGCCUGACGCAGCGACGCCGCGUGAGGGAAGAAGGCCUUCGGGUUGUAAACCUCUUUCAGGAGGGACGAAGCUACUCGGGUGAAUAGCCCAGAGGGUGACGGUACCUCCAGAAGAAGCCCCGGCUAACUACGUGCCAGCAGCCGCGGUAAUACGUAGGGGGCAAGCGUUGUCCGGAUUUACUGGGCGUAAAGAGCGUGUAGGCGGCCAAACAGGUCCGUUGUGAAAACUGGAGGCUCAACCUCCAGACGUCGACGGAAGCCGUAUGGCUAGAGUCCGGAAGAGGAGAGUGGAAUUCCUGGUGUAGCGGUGAAAUGCGCAGAUAUCAGGAAGAACACCUAUGGCGAAGGCAGCUCUCUGGGACGGUACUGACGCUGAGACGCGAAAGCGUGGGGAGCGAACAGGAUUAGAUACCCUGGUAGUCCACGCCGUAAAACGAUGGGCGCUAGGUGUGGGAGGUGUC
rnacentral:rRNA from 1 species